UACGGAGGGUGCAAGCGUUGUCCGGAUUUAUUGGGUUUAAAGGGUGCGUAGGUGGUUUAGUAAGUCUGGUUUGAAGGCUGGUCGCUUAACGAUCAGAUGUGGCUGGAAACUGGUAAACUUGAAUGCGUUGGCGGUAGCCGGAACGGGUCAUGUAGCGGUGAAAUGCAUAGAUAUGACCCAGAACACCGAUUGCGAAGGCAGGCUACUACGACGUGAUUGACACUGAGGCACGAGAGCAUGGGUAGCGAACAGG
rnacentral:rRNA from 1 species